GGGAAGGAAAAUGGGUUCUAUGAAAAGGGAAGAUAGGUUCAAUGAAGAAUAAUGGAAGAAGGCUUCAUAAGGGUCGAUUGAAGAAUGAGAAAAGGGUUUAAAUUUGACAUACAUAUUGAGAUGGUAUUGAUCAAAAACGUUUUUGAGUGAUACCCAUUUGAGAAUACAUGGUUAUGAACGCGUUUACCUUCUCUAACAGCUUUAUGUGCCAAACAACACUUGAUGAUGAUGGGUUCCUGAUGAGUAUAUGGUUCAAUUGAGAAAAGGGUUAGUGAG
rnacentral:lncRNA from 1 species